rnacentral:rRNA from 1 species
UACGUAGGGGGCAAGCGUUGUCCGGAAUCAUUGGGCGUAAAGCGCGUGUAGGCGGUUCGAUAAGUCUGCUGUGAAAGUCCAGGGCUCAACCCUGGGAUGCCGGUGGAUACUGUCGGACUAGAGUACGGAAGAGGCGAGUGGAAUUCCCGGUGUAGCGGUGAAAUGCGCAGAUAUCGGGAGGAACACCAAUUGCGAAGGCAGCUCGCUGGGACGUCACUGACGCUGAGACGCGAAAGCGUGGGGAGCAACAGG